rnacentral:rRNA from 1 species
GACGAACGCUGGCGGCGUGCUUAACACAUGCAGGUCGAACGGAAAGGCCCUGCUUUUGUGGGGUGCUCGAGUGGCGAACGGGUGAGUAACACGUGAGUAACCUGCCCUUGACUUUGGGAUAACUUCAGGAAACUGGGGCUAAUACCGGAUAUGAGCUCCUGCUGCAUGGUGGGGGUUGGAAAGUUUCGGCGGUUGGGGAUGUACUCGCGGCUUAUCAGCUUGUUGGUGGGGUAGUGGCUUACCAAGGCUUUGACGGGUAGCCGGCCUGAGAGGGUGACCGGCCACAUUGGGACUGAGAUACGGACCAGAAUCCUACGGGAGGCAGCAGUGGGGAAUAUUGCACAAUGGGCGGAAGCCUGAUGCAGAAACGCCGCGUGCGGGAUGACGGCCUUCGGGUUGUAAACCGCUUUCGCCUGUGACGAAGCGUGAGUGACGGUAAUGGGUAAAGAAGCACCGGCUAACUACGUG